CAGUAGCCGCGGUAAUACGUAGGGUGCUAGCGUUAAUCGGAAUUACUGGGCGUAAAGCGUGCGCAGGCGGUUAUAUAAGACAGAUGUGAAAUCCCCGGGCUCAACCUGGGAACUGCAUUUGUGACUGUAUAGCUAGAGUACGGCAGAGGGGGAUGGAAUUCCGCGUGUAGCAGUGAAAUGCGUAGAUAUGCGGAGGAACACCGAUGGCGAAGGCAAUCCCCUGGGCCUGUACUGACGCUCAUGCACGAAAGCGUGGGGAGCAAACAGGAUUAGAUACCCCCGUAGUCCCUGUCUCUUAUAC
rnacentral:rRNA from 1 species